rnacentral:misc_RNA from 1 species
UCCAUGAAAGAUCUUGGGCCAUGCAAUUCAGGAUCACUUCUCUUAAAGCAGCAGUGGCAUAAGUGGCAAGGGCUCUUGCGACAGUUUUAACUACUGCAGCUACAUCUUCUGGAUCAACUCUGUCACACUCAGGGUGGAAGGCUCCCAUGUGGAAUCCCGUGUAACCUUCUUUAACAGUAUCAACGAGACCACCAGUAGAAGCAACAAUUGGAACUGUUCCAUAUCGCAUAGCAUGCAA